rnacentral:rRNA from 1 species
UACGAAGGGGGCUAGCGUUGCUCGGAAUCACUGGGCGUAAAGCGCACGUAGGCGGAUUGUUAAGUCAGGGGUGAAAUCCUGGAGCUCAACUCCAGAACUGCCUUUGAUACUGGCGAUCUCGAGUCCGGGAGAGGUGAGUGGAACUGCGAGUGUAGAGGUGAAAUUCGUAGAUAUUCGCAAGAACACCAGUGGCGAAGGCGGACUC